AGGAGAUGGUUGGUCCAGCAACACACAUUUCCAGGCUUCAUUCCAUGUGUGCAAGUAACUUCAUUUCGAAGCAGACUACUGGAGUCAUUCCCCAUCAUCGAUCUGAUGGUGCUGAUUUAUUGGCAAGAUAUGGAGCUGUUUCUCUCUUAUCACCUUGAAGCAAACAAAUCAGGAGGGAUUGUUCCUUGGUCAGGUCUGAGCAGGUCCGGCGCCUGCAAGAGCUUGGGGAAGCUGUGUCCACGUCGCUGGGACUGAACCGGUGCUGUCACGGCUGAUGCUAAUGGAGAGGACAUGUCUCUCCAUUAGAAGUUUACCGACAGUGAAGUGGUUUCCGCUCUGCUGUUCGUUCCAGUUCCCCUGUGGUGAAGUGAGGACUUUGGAGGUUAAAGCCUGUCAGGUCUGGAUCAAGUGUCUGCCACUCUGAUCAGAAAUGUAUUUUUGCUGCAUUUCUUGGGAGAUUCGCCUCUUGAAGACUUUUGCCUCUGUCAGAUGGGACUUGUGUUGGCCAGCGAGUGCAAAAUUACAGGGGGAUGAGGAAGAAGGGAAAGGAUACAGAUGAACACGGGGGUGCUGUGGGAAGCAGAAAUAGAUGCUUGAGUCGCUUAUUUGCGCCAAAGGAAAGCACGAGUCGCACUCUGAAGUCGAUGGUGCCACACCAGAUCUACAGAACCCUUGCCAGGACCAGCAGCUGGCCUCGAGGGUAAAGACACUGCUGCGGGAGACACUGCAGCCUUA